ensembl:misc_RNA Metazoa_SRP Metazoan signal recognition particle RNA
GCUGGGUGUGGUGGCGCACACCUGUAAUCCCAGCUACUCAGGAGGCUGAGGCUGGAGAAUUGCUUGAAUCCAGGAAGCAGAGGUUGCAGUGAGCCAAGAUCGUACCACUGCACUCCUGACUGGGUGACAGAGUGAGACUCUGUCUCAA